AUCUUGGUCAAGCUGCUCCUUCCAAACGGAGAUCUGUUGAAGAUUUUAGCUUAAAAGGUUCAAGGUCUCCCACUGCAUCCAGAGCCAUUUCUAGUCAUCCUGAUCUCUAUCUGGCUGCUGGACCCAGAUGGCUCUGGUUGGGGGAGGGAAGGGAGGCAGGUGACUUUGCUCAGCCCUCCCUCACUUAAAUCUAACUCACCUGCAUAUCACAGCAUCACCUCUCUGAUGUCAUGGUCUUCUUCCAGAAGGACAAGCAACAACAACCCUUUUCAGAGAGAAAUUAUCACUGGAAAAUGCAGCCAGAAACAGCCUAGGAUUUCUCAUGUCUCCACAAACGAAUGCAUUAUAAAAGCCAUAAGAAUGGAAGAUAUCCCAGAUUCCUCGGCCCAGCCAGAUGAUGAUACUACAAGCAUAUGCAAUAUAGUGGAAAGGCUGAGUUGGCUGAUGAAACGGCACAUUCAAUGAUGCUCACAAGAUGAAGAAACUGAGAAGACAGAUUAAGUGACUUGCCCAGGAUUACACAGCUAAGAAGUGUUUGAGGACAGACUUGAUCUCAGAUUCAAAUCUAUCUUUCAUCCCCCUAUACACACGACUAAUUCACUGAAAGGAAUGGGGAAGAGAUUCAUUGAGAAAGGUAGGUGAUGUAAAAGCAAAAGAUAUCAUCAACAAUUUUUAUUUUUAAUCAUAAAAGCUUCUUUUUCUCACAUAGGAAUUUCUGUACAAGUUGAUGUUUGAAUGAUUUUUUUUAGGAAGCUCACAAAAUGGUGUGCUUUCACAGACCUCUUUUAUAAUUAUGCAAAGUAUCCUAUACUACUAGUAGUGAUAUGGGUCAGAAUAUAGAGAGAAGAGUUAUUUCAAUAGAAAGAAAUGUUCUGGACUCAGAAACAAACCUCUCAAUUUAAAGUUCUUUUUCUCCCCGAACAUAGCAAAGUAAUUUAUCUCUCUGAGAAAAACAGUGGGAAAGGACUUUGAGUGUACUUGUAUUCUAUUACACAAAAUAACUACUUUAAAUAUUCCUAUUGCAAUUUGGACAUCUAUAUUCAAAAAAGUAUAUUUGAAACUCAAAUUUAGUCUUCCUUUAAUUUUCUGUGCCAUAAAUCUUUGCAGAUGAAAAAAUUUUCUCCUUUAUCUGCCUUUAUCUAGAAAGAAAGAAAGAAAGAAAGAAAGAAAGAAAGAAAGAAAGAAAGAAGGAAAGAAAGAAAGAAAGAAAGAAAGAAAGAAAGAAAGAAGGAAGGAAGGAAGGAAAAAGGAAGGAAGGAAGGAAGGAAGGAAGGGAGGGACGGAGGAAAUGGCAAAUCAGUUAAAGAGCUUGGGAAAUAAUGAGUAAAGAAUGAUUGAAGACAUCAAUUGUACCCAAAUCUCGGGAAGCUAAAUUCUGUUCUAGGGUCAAAAAAAGUAAUUUGUAGUAGGGUCAUUCACAUUAUGGUUAGAAAGUUCUUUCGGUAACCUUUACCUGAAAGGCAAAAUGGCCUAGUAUUCAGAGAGCUGCCCUUGGGCUCAGGAAGAACAGCCUUACACAAAGGCCACCCUUUUUGUCUGACGGAGAUUCUGCAGAUCACUUAGCCUCUCCACUCCCGAGCAGCUCCCUAAGAUUAAGGCUGCCCUGCCAUUGCUGAAUUGCAUUGUUAGAGGAAGUUGGUUCAUUAGGGAACUCCCUACAUCAAAGAAAUUACAGAUCCAGAUUUAAACAAUUUUUUGUUUUAUUUUUGCCCUUAUGGGAGCAUGCAGAGCAAACCUAUUCAUACUUUUAAAAUAAAUUUAUAGAUGUCCCUAUGACUUCUCUUCUUCCCUAGGUCUAACAUUCACAUAUUAUGUGAUUUUGAGACCUUUUAAGUUGGAUAAAAACAACAACUAUUACUAUAUUUAUUGAGCUCCAAAUUGAUCAUUAUAUUUUAGAGGCAGUAAAACUAGCUCAGAUUGUAGGAAAUCUAUUUUCUGUUAUCUGGACCUCAUACUUUUACUUAAUUCAGUCUAGGAUUCUGUUAGCCUCCUUCUCUCCCUCAAGCCCCCAUUCCCACAUUAACUAUUAGCUCAAGUCAAGUUUGUGUUCUAUUAGAACCUCCAGAUCUUUUCAUAUAAAUAGUUGCCAUAUUAUACAAUGUUCUUAUGUUUGUAAAGAGAUUUCAAAUAUCACUUAAAAAUAAUAAAGAAUAAAAAAAAUAAAACAUAAAAUAAUAUUUUAUUUAUAAAAUAAAUAAUAAAAAAUAAUAAAGAUGAUGUAGUACAUAGAGUACCAGCCCUGGGUCAGGAAAACCUGAGUUCAAAUCCAGUAUCAGACACUUAACAUUUCCUAGCUAACAAAUUCUAUGUGAAGUCACUUAACCCCAAUUGUCUUUUGCAAAAUACAAAAAUUAACAAAACAAAUAAUAAAGCUUGUCUCUAGCUUGAUGAAGUUUACAUUUAAGUUGGGGUGUGAUAGUCAGGAGCCAAAAGUUUCCAGGCUGGGAAGAUUCGGGUGAAAUAAUUAAACUGACUCAUUUUUUUUCUAGAAUGACUGGAUAUGUGUAGGGAAUAAUAACUCCAUUGAGACGGGCAAUUCAUUUUUCACAUACUGACAAUUUUAUUUCAUUUUACUCCACACUAGAUGUAUCAAGAGAAAAAUAAAGCACAAAGCAGAAUAAACUCAAUUCCAAUAAAACAUAAUGAAGACUGAUAUAUUCUUCUAGCAAUGAAAAUUUCUCUGUUUACUGGAAAAACAAGGUUCUGGCUUCCAAGGACAAAAAAAAAAGUUUAAAUUACUGGAUUCUAAGAAACAACCCUUGUGAAAGAGGCAUGAAAAAGGUUAAAUGGAUAUGUCUGUAUUGGGGAUAGGGAGCUAUUUGGUACAUUGUUUAGGAAAACUUCAGUUUUCUUUUGGUCUACAGCUACAGAAGUUUUACUUACUUAUGCAGAGAUAAAUGUUGAACCAUUUUAGUAAUCCACAUGCUUGGAGAUGCUCUUGUAAUCAUUUUGAUCAUUAUCCCAACCCAAUCUGUGUCCAUUCCUUAAUGACCAGUAACUCACUUUCUUUUUUUAAUGUUAAAGUAUAUGUUAAAUCCAAUAUAUGUAUAUAUAUAUUUAUACAGUUAUCUUGCUGCACAAGAAAAAUCGGAUUUAGAAAGAAGGUAAAAAUAACCUGGGAAGAAAAACAAAAAUGCAAGCAAACAACAACAGAACGAGUGCAAAUGCUAUGUUGUGGUGCACAUUCAGUUCCCACAGUUCUCUCUCUGUGUGCAGAGGGCUCUCUUUAUCACUGAACAACUGGAACGGGUCUCAAUCAUCUCAUUGUUAGAAAGAGACAUGACCAUCAGAAUACAUCCUCAAACAGUAUUGUUGUUGAAGUAUAUAAUGAUCUCCUGGUCCUGCUCAUUUCACUCAGCAUCAGUUCAUGUAAGUCUCUCCAAGUCUCUCUGAAAUCAUCCUGCUGGUCAUUCCUUACACAACAAUACUAUUUCAUAAUAUUCAUAUACCACAAUUUACUCAACCAUUCUCCAAUUGAUGGGCAUCCACUCAGUUUCAAGCUUCUAGCCACUACAAACAGGGCUGCCACAAACAUUUUGGCACAUACAGGUCCCUUUCCAUUCUUUAAGAUCUCUUUGGGGUAUAAGCCCAGUAGAAACACUGCUGGAGCAAAGGGUAUGCACAGCUUGAUAACUUUUUGAGCAUAGUUCCAAAUUGCUCUCCAGAAUGGCUGGAUGUGUUCACAAUUCCACCAACAAUGUAUCAGUGUCCCAGUUUUCCCACAUUCCCUCCAACAUUCUGCAUUAUCUUUUCCUGUCAUAUUAGUCAAUCUGACAGGUGGGUAGUGGUAUCUCAGAGUUGCCUUAAUUUGCAUUUCUCUGAUUAAUAAUGACUUGGAACAUCUUUUCAUAUGGUUAGAAAUAGUUUCAAUUUCUUCAUCUGAAAAUUGUUUUCUAUUGGGAAGAUAGUACCAGUAGGGGUGACAAAUGCUUUUUAAGUUAUUUCGGUAAUUUAAAAGUGCCUAGUAAAAACAGACAAAAAUUAAGAAAUGGAAAAAAUUGCAAAUGUUUUGAUUAUAGAGUUUGGGGUUGAUUUUACUUUUAGCAACUAUGUUUAUUUAAAAUAUGUGCUUAUUAGUCACCUUUUAAAAAUACCAAUACUAUUCUAUUUUUCUGAAAGUUUCAAUUCCACUAUGACUCAUGUCAUAUGUUUAUAGAGAUAGUUUAGAAUGGCUCAUUUCUCUAAGGGAGUGGGGAAGCUUAUGAAGUACUUUUAUUCCUGCCCUAGUUCUCCUAAGAGACGCUUCAUUAGUACUGUUGAGAAUCACAAGGGUUUCAGACUGUAUAAUUUCUAAGAUCUCUUCUAGUUCUGAUAGUCUGUGGUUUCUAUGGUUACACUUUCCUUAUGGCCAAAAAAAAAAAAAAAAGCCCAACAAGUCAACAAUUUAAACAUCUUUGCUUCUCUUCUUCUUGUUAAAGCAGAGUCUGUUUACAAAAGAAAGAUUAUGGGAAAGUAGAAUGUAAUAACGUCUCCAGAAUUUUUAGCCAAGGACUAAACAUGAGUUGGUUGGGAACUUAACAUCCAGGAAAUCAAUCAAAAGUUAAGAAGCAUAUGAAAUUUAGAACUUAGUUUUAUAAAAUAUUAAUAAAUGAGGUAUUUCAAUUAUCAUAAAUCACAAAGAUUUAGAUGUUAAGACUACUGUAGUGGUUCAGUAGAUAGAUUACUGGGCCUUAAGUGAAAAAGAUUGGAAUUCACAUAUACUUUCAGACAUCUACUAGCUAUGACCCUAUGUAAUCAUAUUUGCCUCUAUCUGCCUCAGUUUUUUCAUCUGUAAAAUGGGAAUAAUAGUAGAACCUGUUUCACAGAAUAAAAUGAAUUAAUACUUGUAAAACACAUUGUGAACCCUAAAAGAAGUAUUUUUAUAUUAUUAUCCAUUCUACAAAUGAGGAAACACAGGUCCAGAAUACUAAAGUAAGUUGACCAUAGUUAUUUAGAUUUUUUAAAAAUAAAAUUGUAUCAGAACAGGGAAGAAUAAGCUCAGAUAAGACCACACACGAAUAAUAAGAUUCCCUACCUGAUGUUAGGUAAAAUAAAUACUUAGAUCUAACUUCAGGAGGUGAGAAAACUUAUUAGGAAAAAUGAGCUGCUAUCACUGAUAUGUGUAUAUAUUAAUUAUAUUUUUACAUCUAUACAUUCAUAUAUAUAUACAGACAUACACAUAUUCCCUUCAAGUCACUGUCAAAAAAUCAUUGAUCUACCUGGAUAACUCAUCAUUAUUAACAACUUGAAUUUUUUCAUAGCCCAUAAAGGUGAUAUCAUGACAUGGAGAUGACCUUGGGUUCUUCAAAGUGCUGCCAAUGGAGGACAAACCGGAGAGACUUUGAGGAUAAUUCUUGUGACUGUUUGCCUCUACUUUCUAAGUAUUAACAUAGCUGAAGAUGGCCAUUUCCCAGGAAACUCAUCAUUUGAUGACAUAUUCUUUGGCUUUAGCAUCUCAUUUGUAUUAGGCAAGAAUUGGAACAGGACCAUAGGUAUUUAUUUAACUUAAUUAAUAUAGGUAUUAUAUUUAAUUAUUUAAAUGGCUAGUUUACCCAGCUCCAAUGGCUGCUCCAAGUCAGUGAUGGAGUACAAGUAUAGGCCCCUUAUAGGACAGACACCUGGAAAGGGGAGAGCUCUGUUUUUUUAUUAUAACUUUUUAUUUACAAGAUACAAGAUGCCUGGGUAAUUUUUCAGCAUUGAUAAUUGCAAAACUUUUUGUUCCAAUUUUCCCUCCUUUCCCCCAGCCCCUCCCCCAGAUGGCAGGUUGACCAAUACAUGUAAAAUAUGUCAAAGUAUAAGUUAAAUACAACAUAUGUAUACAUGUCUAUACAGAUAUUUUGCUGUACAAAAAGAAUUAGACUUAGAAAUAGUGUACAAUUAACCUGUGAAGGAAAUGAAAAAUGCAGGUGGACAAAAAUAGAGGGAUUGGGAAUUCAAUGUAGUGGUUCAUAGUCAUCUCCCAGAGUUCUUUCACUGUGUGUAGCUGGUUCAGUUCAUUACUGCUCUCUUGGAACAGAUUUGGUUCAUCUCAUUGUUGAAGAGGGCCAUGUCCAUCAGAAUUGAUCAUUAUAUAGUGUUGUUGUUGAAGUAUAUAAUGAUCUCCUGGCCAUGCUCAUUUCACUCAGCAUCAGUUCGUGAAAGUCUCUCCAGGCCUUUUUGAAAUCAUUCUGCUGGUCAUUUCUUAUCAAACAAUAAUAUUCCAUUAUAUUCAUAUACCACAAUUUAUUCAGCCAUUCUCCAAGUGAUGGGCAUCCACUCAGUUUCCAGGAGACCUCUCUGAGAAGGAUAUAGGGGCUGCCCUUGAGGAAAUCCUUAGAGGAUAAAAUGACAACAUGAUCUAUUCUGAGGGUUACCAAGGAAGUGGCUCUUGAAUCUACUCAGUCAACAAGCAUUUAAUAAGCACUUAAUAAGUCUUAAGAAUGGGAAGCUAAGAAUGGGAAACAGAAGCCAUGCUGGAAUAAGUAAAAACAAUUCCUGACAUGAAUACCUUGACCCCAUGAGUGUUCCAUUCACACCAGAUCAGAAUGAAUCCUUUUCCAAGACACUAUGAAAUAAAGGGAAAAAAAGAAGCCCACAAAUAGCCUCUAGUCCUAUAUGACCUCUUUCAACUUCUCUAUAAAUGAGGAAACAAAAAAGGGAAAGAUGUGAAGUAAGGUUAUUUUGAGAUUAUUUAUAAACAGUAAGUUGUUGAAUUUAAGGAAAUAAAUGUAAGAUAUUUCUCCAGUGACUAACAAGUAGACAGGAGGAAGUAAAUCAUUUCAACCUUGACAUUUACAAAGGGCAAUGGAGAAGAACCCAAAUAGGUUCAAGCCUACAAACCAAUAAAGAAUUGCCCACAAAAAGUGACAUAAAGAAUAUCAUUAGAGGAAUAUAUGACCGGAAAAGAAAGUGAGCUAGUUAUGUAGCAAGAGCUAGAGAUAAUGGGUGAACAAAUAGUCCAUGUGCUCCUUUGGUAUUUACACAAUUUCAAAAGGCCUAAUGGGAGGUCCCUUACAUAUAGAGUGAACACUCUGUGAAGAAUCAUGGGAAGAUUGAAAAAAGAAUCAGACAGAUGAAAAAACACAAAUGGGUGGGAAAUUCUCAUCCUUGGAGAGAAUAGCAACAUUUAUAAGAUCACAGAUUCAUGAAAGUAUUAGAGUCAGUCCAAUGAACCACAAGUUGAGAUUCUUGAGAUGUUAACUUUUUUUUUUACUAUAAAUGAAUCCAGUCACUGUAGCUAAAUGCUUCAAAUUAUGGCUCACAGGUUCUCUUUUGAAGAGUAAAUAAAGGAGUUGACAAUGUUGUUUUAAUUGUGCAAAAAAAAAAUGUGAUUUUAUAGGUUGCUUCUUACUAUUCUUAAAGAACAAAAGAAAACAGAAUAAUGCUAAAAUACUUAGAAUUUAUGCAUCUUUUUACAUACUUAUUGCAGAGGAUGGAGACACAGAGGAAUUACUUGGCAAUUUUACAAGGUCUUCCAAAUUGUUUAUAUAGAACUUGAGACAAGGAUCUUGUAAACAUGAACACAGGAGUUGUCAGCUAAAAUUGUUGGAAGAAUUUGGAAUCAAAGAAACAAAUAGUUUAGUAUCAAAAGAAAGAAAGCAUCCAAAUACUUUCUUCAAAAAAAAGCUAUGGCAAACAUUGAAUAACGUCAUUCUUUCUCCAACUCACUUUAUAGAUUAAAAAAAAAAAAAAAAACAGGCAAAAAGAGUUAAGUGGCUUGCUCAGGGAAAUACACUCCAACCAGCAUUUUCAACCAGAUCUGCUUAAAUAGUUGGUUCUGAAAACUUGGAAAAAAAAAACAAAAGUGAAGACACUGACUCUGUUUAUCAUUGGUUUUAAGAGGUAGCAUGAUAUAGCAAAGAGAAAGUCUUGAAGUCAAGAGGACUGGUUUUAAGCUAUGUAACCACAGGCAAGCUGUGUAAACUCUCAGGCAACUUCCUAGAAUCUACUACUGAUCAGUUGCUGAGUUAUAUUGGUAGAGGGAGUUUUCACACUAGGAGUUCCCUGUACCAAGUAAAAAUUACAGACUUGGACCCUAAAGAAGAAAAAUUAUCAGUAUCAUCCAUUCAUUCCUCUAACUAGCAUUUAUUAAGCAUUUGCUAUGUGCCAGACGCUGUUCACUGGAGAUACAAAACCAAAAAUAGUUCCUAUCCUAGAAAAUUAUAUUUUGGGGGGGAUGGAAGAAAAUAUUAACAAAGGUAAAGUAAAUACAAAGUAAUAUCAAGGGAUGCAUAUUUGUUGGUAAGUAGGGUGAUCAAGAUAAAUUUUUUGUAGGAGGUGAAUCUUGAGGUAAACUUUGAAACAAGCUAGAGAUUCUAUGAAUUAGGGAAUUAAAAUUACAAUUAACACAAAGGGGCAAUGGAAAGAUACAUGGCAAAUAUAUUUGCCAGGAGUAACAGCAGUAGCAGCAGUACUAACAACAACUAUCAUUUGUACAGCUCUUUAAAGUUUAUACAACACAACAAAUAUUGCCUUAUUUAAUCCUCAUAAGAUAUUAGGAAUGGAUAAAGAAACCAAGGAAAAGAGAGAUGAAGAAACUAGGGAGAUAGAGGAUAAGUGAUUGACAUCAGAUUGGAACUUGUGUCUUCUUGAAGCACCCUCUUCACUGUGCUACCCUGUUGUCCCUGGUACAUCAUCAAUAAUUAAUAAUGAGUAGAAUAGUUGUUAUAAAAGACAUCAUUAAAGGCAUGUUUGAUUGGGAGGACAAAUGAACCAGUCACGCAAUAAGAGUAAGAUAAUGGAUGAUUUAGUCUGCAAGGGUUUUUUUCUCCCACAUAUGUAUUUUAUUUUAUUUUUUUACAUGUACAUAUGUACUUUUAAAGUACAUAUUUCUUUACAAAUCACAUUGGAAGAGGAAAAUCAGAACAAAAGGGAAAAAUCACUACAGAAAAAAAAAAAACGAAGUGAACAUAGCAUGUGUUGAUGUACAUUCAAUCUCCGUAGUUCUUUUUCUGAAUGUAGAUGACAUUUGCUAUCCAAAGUUAAUUCAUGACUUUUAUAGAACAAUAAUAUUCCAUAACUUUCAUAUGCCAUAACUUAUUCAGUAAUUCCCCAAUUGAUGGGCAUUUGCACAUUUUCCAGUUCUUUGUCACUACAAAAAGAGGUGCUACAAAUGUUUUUACACCCAUGGGUUCUUUCCCCUCCUUUAUGAUUUCCCUGGAAUACUGAAUCAGUGGUGGUACUGCUAAUUCAAAGGGUAUGGACAGUUUUGUAACCUUUUGAGCAUAGUUUCAAAAUGCUCUCCAGAAAGGUUGGAUCACUUCACAACUUUACCAAUAAUGCAUCAGUAUUCCAGUUUUCCCACAUCCCCUCCAACAUUUAUCAUUAUUUUUUUUCUGUCAUCUUAGCCAAUUUGAGAGAUGUGAGAUGGUCCCUCAGAGUUGUUUUAAUUUGAAUUUAUCUAAUCAAUAGUAAUUUGGAACAUUUUUUUCAUAUGACUAUAAAUGGCUUUAAUUUCAUCAUCUGAGAAUUGUCUAUUUAUAUCUUUUGACCAUUUAUCAAUUGGGCAAUGACUUGUAUUCUUAUACACAGUUCUCUAUAUUUUUUAGAAAUGAGGCUUUUAUCGGAAACACUGGCUGUAAAUUUUUUUUCCCCAGCGUUGUACUUCCCUUUUAAUCUUGUUUGUAUUGGUUUUGUUUUUGCAAAAACUUUUUAAUUUAAUGUAAUCAAAGUUGUCCAUGUUGCAUUUCAAAAUGUUCUCUAGUUCUUCUGUGGUCAUAAAUUCCUCCCUUCUCUAAAUAUCUUUGGUCUUCAAAGGUAUCAAAAAGAGAUCAAAAGUUGUGCUUCCAACACAUUGAGGAGAUCCUUUAUUAAAGAUAUAUGGAAAGACAUAGAUACAAAUUACAUAGGAUAAGAAUGGCGGUAGGUGAAGAGUUUAGGAUCUCUACUAGCAAAAGUGUCACCUGCAUUAAUUAAAUAAUGGAUUUCAACUAGGUUCUGGCUUUUUCACCUUCCCUAUGUUUUGCUCUUCACUUUCUAGUUUUUGUUCAGUAGUUUUUUUCAGUUUUGUCCAACUCUUUGACCCUAUCUGGGGUCUUCUUUUGUAAAGAGACUAAAGUGAUUUGCCAUUUUCUUCUCCAGCUCAUUUUACAAAUGAACAAACUGAGACAAAAUCACAGUAAAAUGAACUUUCCUGGGUCAUACAACUAGUAAGUUUCUGGAGAUAGAUUUGAACUCAGGUUUUCCUGACUCCUGUCUUUUAGAAUUGCCAUAUUUUCCAGAAAUGCUGGAUCCUUAUCAUGCAGGAGACCCUGAAUGUGUCAAGGAUGAAGCUCCUUCUAAGCUGACAUAAUUUAUUCUUCCACCCCAAGCUAGACUCCCUGUUUGUCCUUGGGAGGUAAGACAGGUGCCAGUCAGUCUGUGCCAGGCUGAGAUAAUUCCUGUGCAGCUGAGGUUUUUUGCCGAUAAGCAGACCCUCCUAUUUUUAUAGUCCAACAGUUUACAAGGAAAUAGAAUGAGUCUCUUGCCAUCAUCUUGGUCCUCCCUGUGGGGAGAGGUCGUGUCUUUUUUCCUUCUUUUAAUAUACCACGCCCAGUCCCAAGUCACUCCCCUUCCUGGUAUUCCCUCAAUUCUUUGUCUUCUUAUUAUAAUAAUGUAAGCUUCUGUAAUGAUGGGGAACCCUUUAGGCUCCACCUACAUGUUCAUUUCUCUUGUAAUAAACCUGGUUUUCUCAUAAGUCUCAUGGGGUUGUGAUUGCUUUUUGAUAAAGACCAGUGUUCUAUCCAAAGUGCUAUCUACUUUUUUUUUUUACUCUUUUUAACUACUUUUUUUUUUAUUACUAAUGAACUACUUUUUUUUUUUACUACUAAUGAACUAAAACUAUAUUACUGAUUUUCUGAGUUCUAUAAAAUAUAUCUUGCAUAUAAUAUGGAAUUUGCUAAAGAAAUUACUUUUGACUGGGGCUAACUAGCCUUUCAUAAAUAAUAUAUCAAAAUACCAGUCUACUUCAUUUCAAUUCCAUAAACACCUGUUAGGUGCCUAUCAGAUACAAGGCGUUGUCACAAAACUAGGGAUAGAAAGACAAAAAUAAAAUAAUUCUUACCCUUAAGGAGCUAACAUCUACUGUUCUUCUAUAGAGCUGUAAGUGAGUGAUAAAUGACACUGUGGACAUUUUUGAACAAGAAAUAACUAUAAACUAGAUAGUGAUUAUAUUGCUAAUUCUUGAAAGCAGCAGAGAGGAGGACUCAGUGGUAAUGACCUACCCUAGAACUUCAGGUAUUUAGUGAUUUUCACUAGUUUUUUUUUUCUUUCCUCCUGUCCCCAGUGGUAAGCAGUGCCAGGCAUACAAUAAAUAUUUAAUAAUGCUUGGAUUUUUGUUAUUGUUGCUCUCAUUCUUGCUGAUGAUUUUAUCUUUAACCUUUCAGGUCUGGAAGCAUUUCAAGAUUAUUCUGUUAUUUCCACAAUGUUUCCCAAAUGUGAUUUAAGUCUUAAUUUUUCAUUGAUCAUUUAUUUUGAUAAAGCCACAUUCUUAUUUUGAUUCCAGUUUAUUCCCACUCUCAGAGUCUUCUGCAUUAUGUUACAGUGACUAAUGAUAGAGAGAGAGAGCAUAGAGACAUAGACAAAGUCAGACAGAGAGAUGGAGACCGAAUUAGAGAUGUAAAGAGAGAAUGACAGAAAUACAAAUAGGCUAAAAAAGAGAUAAAGAGGUAAAGCAAGAGAAAGGGACAAAAAGAGAGAGACAGAGUCAGAAUGGAGAAAGGGCAGAAAGAAAAAGAAACAAAAAAUGAGAGAAAUAAUGAGAAAGAUAAGUAGGGGAGAAACAGACACAGAAAAAUGGAGAGAGGAAAGAGAAAAAAAAUGCACCAACAAAAAUGGGAAAGUAAUGAAAAAGACAAAUGGAAGAGACAUACAUAGAGACAGAAAGAGAAGGAGUAAGGGUUAAAAAUGGAGAAACAGAGGAAAGGAGAGAAAGGAUGAAACCAUAAAUAUAGGGGAUGCCUGAAUCAUGAUCAAUUUUGUAGAGUGUGCCCUGGAUAAAUACUGCCACCUGAUGGCCAUGACAAGUAUGUGAUUACCUUGCAGAUUGGAAUAAUAAUUUUAAAGCACAAUAAACUGAAGAGUGUUUUCUAUUUAAGUUUCUUUGAAAAAUGUUGGAGGGUGCAAGCCUGUGGUUCCCAGAGUUUGAAGAAUGGUAAAAGUGAGUGAGUUUUUAGGCAAACAGAAGAACAUAUUCUUUGGAAUUGUGGGACCCAACAGACCAGAGAGUUUGAUGAAUCAGUUGUUAUUAAAGGUUGUUGCAUUUCUUCUGAAUACUCCCAAUGCAAACAUUAGUAGGCUAAGGGAUAUCAAAAGAACCUAACAGAAGAAAGAGAUUUUCUUUGUUGCAUUUGGAUCAAUCAGGUAUUUGUCAGGUUUUGCUGUGCAUUUAGCCCUUUGCUAAAUAAUGUGACAUAUACUUUGAAUCUAAAAGACAGAGGAUAGGACCUAAUCACAUGAUAAUAUUUUAUCAUUUGAAUUUCUUAUUUAUUUUUAACAUUUUUUCAUUUUAAAUUCUGAGUUCUACAUUCUCUUCCUCCCUCCCACCCCAUAUAAAAUCACUCAUGUGAUAAAAAAUUAAAUAAUAAUAAUGCAGACCAAUAUGUAAUGUAAUGUAAUACCUUGGCAUGGACUGUUAGCAACUAAUAUGAAGAAUUAUGAAGAAGAAAGGUAAAGAAUAAUGAGUGAGCAUACCACAUUUUAAAUCCAGCUUUAGGCUAAUACAUUUCCAAGGCUUAAAAGGGAUUUAGGCAAAGGAAUAAUAUUGAAUCUAAUCUGACAAACUGAGUUUCAAUUUCUCAAAAUUAGUAAAAGAAAAAAAUGAACAAUUCCCUACUCUUUUAUAUCAGGAAAAUAUAAACCCACAUGCCCAGAAAAUACAGUUUUCUUUAACAGUUUAGGAUCUCUUUACUCAUCAAUGUUCCCCUAGAAUUUUUGUCUAUAGGAAGCAUGCAUGCAUGUGUAUUGGAUAUAUGACUCACUUCCUUAUAAGACUUAGUUGAAAAAUAUGUAUUUUCUAUCAAAGAUGAUAGAAAUGUCUCAGAGCACAGCCAUCUGGGCAGGAUCUUCCGACUGGGCCAUUCUAGCAUCCUCAUCAGGAUGAGAGUCCCUCUCUGGCUAGCUGGCUCCAUGCCUUCUGACUGGCCUUAUUCUAAAACUGGACUUGGUCUAGUCAAUUGGAAAAUGUCAUCCUAGGUAGCAGAUGUGCUCUUAUUUGGCUGACUGAUUUAACGUUUUCAUGGUUCAAUUAGGUCUGUCAAUGAGACAUCAAAUUCGACCAAGUUAUCUCUCAGGCCAGGACAAACAUUGAUUAGUCUUAGUCAGAGAAUCAGAGAGUUAUCUAAGUCAUAACAUUUAUUUUCUGCAGGGAGGGGCUGAAAACAGUAUUGCUCUGAGCAUGUAGCAUCUUCAUUUCUCCUAUUUCCUGCCAGUUACCAGUGCCAGAUCUGAAAAUACUCUUGCUUCAUCUGAAUAAUGUUGUGUUGGGUAAUGAAACUCUGGCUUAUCUCUCUUCUUCAGGACUGGCACUCCUGAGGGGAGCAGGGAAGUAGAAAAUGGAAUUCAAAUCAAUCUGAAAGAUUUAUGAGACCCACAGAAUGAAGUCAACAUUCGCUGAGGUGAAUCAUGAUUAGUUUUCCCUAUAACACAAGAGGAAACUAGAGAAGGAGAACAUGUCAUAGAACCAUAGAAUAUUAUAACUGGGAGAGGCUUUAAAGGUCAUUGAGUCCAAUCUUCCACCUGUAGAAGCAAUGGAAGGAAGGAAAGAAGAAAGAAAGGAAGGAAGGAAGAAAAGAAAGAAGGAGAGGGAGGGAAGGAGGGAAGGAGAAAGGGAAGGAAGGAGAGAAAAGGAGGGAGAAUGAAAGGAAGGAUGGAUGGAUGGAAGGAAGGAAGGAAGGAAGGAAGGAAGAAAGGAAGGAAAGAAGGAAGGAAGGAAGGAAGGAAGGAAGGAAGGAAGGAAGGAAGGAAGGAAGGAAGAAAAGAAAGGAAGGAAGGAAGGAAGGAAGGAAGGAAGGAAGGAAGGAAGGAAGGAAGAAAGGAAGGAAGGAAGGAAGGAAGGAAGGAAAAAAUUCUAACCACAUGCAAAAAUUACCAAUUCUUGACUGCAAAAUUUCAGUGUGGACAUUUACAUGUCAAAAAUUGGCAAAUAAAUCAGGAGUUGAUUUAUUGUUUGUUGAAUGUCUAGACUUAAUAAAGUGUGGAGAAAAUGUUAAUUCUGUCUUGUGUAUUUUUCUUCUGAAAAACAUGUUAUUAAACACUUUCCUGCACUCCCUUCAUUCCAAGGGACUUAAAGGUCAUUGACUCUCACCUGUACCUGAACAAGAAUCCUUUCUAUGAUGUCCCUAGCAAGUUUUCACCCAACUGAUGCUUGAAGAUUUCUAGUGAGAGGGAACCCCUUAGUUCUACUUUUUGAUAUCUCUGAUAAUUUAAAAGGUUUUUUUUUCCUUUAUAUUAGGCCUAAAUCUGUCUGUGAAAAUUCCUCCUAUUGUUCUUAGUUUUUCUCUCUGAGGUCAUGCAGGACAAGUGCCGUGAAUAUGACAGCUACCCUUCAAGUGGUAGACCAAGUUUCUUAAACUAUAGAUUGUGACUCUACAUGGGGGUCAUGAAAUUAUGGUUUAUUAUCAGUAAUUGUUUGAUUUGUAUACAUAUUUUAUAUAUCUGGACUUGAGUAAAAAUUUCUCAGGUGAAAAGGGAUUGUGAAUGGAACAAGUUUAAGAAGCCUUGUGCUAGUCAGCCAGUACUGUCACAUAAUAGGCACUUAAUAAAUGUUUAUUAAUUUAAUAGCUAUAAGAUACUCUUUUUUCCUUUUCUUUGUCUUCUCCACGUUGAAGAGUCAAUCUUUCAACCAAUCUGUACAUGUCAUGAAUUUAAGGCUUCCCACCAUCUUCAUUAGCUUCCUUUUGUUGUCAUUCAAUUUAUCCAAAAUCAAAAUAAUAUUAAAGUUAUGGGCCUGUGUUUCUCACUUCAGUUCAUUUUACAGAUAAGGAAACUGAAGCAAACGGGAUUAAGUAACUUGCCCAGGGUCAUACAGUUAAUAAGUGUCCAAAGUCAGGUCAUAAUUUAGGAAGAUGUUUUCUUGAUUUUAAAACCAGUGUCCUGUCCACUGCAUUUCCCUAGUUACCCCAUAUUUAUAUAGUGUCUACUAUGUGCCAGUAGUGUGGUAAGCUCUUUUCAAAUAUAAUCUCCAUUGGUCUUCACAACACUCUAAGGCAGGUGCUAUAAUUAUCCCCACUUUACAAUUAUGUACAAUCAUUUGUGACUCCAUUUGGCAGAAAUGCUGAAGUGAUUUGAUUUGCCAUUUCCUUCUCCAGUUCAUUCUUUUUUGUAUGAAAGCAUAUUUAUUUCCAGUAUUAUUUUUUUAACAUAUAUUUAUUUAUUUAAUAUUUUUCACAGUUACAUUCAAAACAAUUUUCAUUCACAUUUGUUUUUAAGAUUUUUGAGUUCUAAGUUCUCUCUCCUAUCCACACCCACAAUUAAAAAACCAUAUAUAAAGUUAUGUAUACCAUUUCUGUAACAGUCAAGCUGUGAAAGAAAACAUAGAUCUCUCAAUCUAAUGAAAAUAAAAACCCUCAAGAAAAAUUAAGUUUAAAAUAAAGAGAAAGAGACAGUAAUAGAGAAUGCUUCUACCUAUAUUCAGACUUGAUCAGUUCUUUCUCUGGGUAUGGAUAGGAUUUUUCAUCAUAACUCCUUCAGACUAAGUGUAAUUGAUUGUACUACUGAGAAUAUCAAAGUCAUUUACAGCUGGUCAUCCCAGAACAUUGCUAUUACUUUGUAUAUAAUAUAUUUCACUUUGUUCAUGGAGGACUUUUCAGGUUAUUUUUUUUUCUGAGAGCCUUCUGCUCAUCAUUUCCCAAAGAACAAUAAUAUUCCAUGGGAACUUGCUUCGAAAAUUGUUUACAGUUACUAUUGCUAAUUGUAUUUCCCCCAUUUAUUUUCUCUUUCCUUUCAUCCUGUUCCUCCUUAAAAAGUGUUUCGCUUCUGACCACUUCCUUCCUCAAUAGGCCCUCUCUUUUAUCACUCUCCCCACUUCUCACAUCCCAUUCCCCUCCUCUUUUUCUGAAAGUUAAGACAGAUUUCUAUACCCCUAUUGAAAAUAUAUAUUAUUUUCUAUUUGAGCCAAUUUUGUUGAGAGUAAGAGUCACUCAUUCCUCCUCUCCUCCCCCUCUUCUCCUCAACUGAAAAAGCUUUUUCUUGCUUCUUUUCUUGCAUCAUUCUACUUCUCCAAUUCCCUUUCUCCCAGUACAUUCCUCUCUUACUUUCAUCAUUCAAAAAGAUAUUAUGUCUUCAUAUUUAACUCACACCCAUGCUCUCUGUCUAUAUAUACUCCUUCUAACUGCCAUGAUAAUGAGAAUGUUUUUAUCCUCCCAUGUAGGAAUGUAAAUAUAUAAACUUUAUUAAGUCCUUUAUAAUAUCAUAUUCCUGAUUAGCUCCUUAUGUUUCUCCAAAGUCCUGUAUUUGAAAAUCAAAUUGCCCAUUUAGCACUGGUCUUUUCAUCAUGAAUUCUUGAAAUGUUCUGUUUCAUUAAAUGACCAUCUUUUCCUCUAAUGGAUAAUACUCAGUUUUGCUGGGUAAGUGAUUUUUGGUUGCAGUUCUAGUUCCGUUGCUCUCUGGAAUAUCAUAUUUCAAAUCCUUUGGUCCUUUAAUAUAAAAGCGACUAAAUCUCGUGUUAUCCUGACUGUGGCUCCACUGUACUUGAAUUGUUUUUUUCUGGAUGCUUGCAUUAUUUUAUCUUGACCUGGGAGUUCCAGAAUUUGACUAUAAUAUUUUUGGGAGUUUUUAUUUGGGGCUCUCUUUCAGGAGAUAAUUGGUGAAAUCUUUCAGUUUCUAUUUUAUUCUCUGGUUCUAGAAUAUCAGGGCAAUUUUCCUUGAUCAUUUCUUGAAAAAUGACAUCUAGGCUAUUUUUCUGAUCAUGACUUUCAGGUAGACCAAUAAUUUUUAAAUUCUCUGUCCUGAAUCUAUUUUCCAAAUCAGGUGUUUUUCCAAUAGGAUAUUUCACAUUUUUUCCUAUUUUUUCUUUUUUUGGUUUUGCAUUAUUGUAUCUUGAUUUUUCAUAAAUUCAUUAGAUUCCAUUUGCUCAAUUCUAUUUUUU